AUAGCAUCCUGUGGCCUUUAGAAGGACAUGAAUUUCUGAAGACUUUCUUGGAAAAAGGUCUACAGCAAGACCAAAGUUAUGAAUAGUUUGAACCAAUCAGUGCUAUGUCUAACACUGAGUGUUAAGUGCAGUUUUUUUUGAGCUGACUGUCCUGAGCUAGUAACUCCUGCCAACAAGGGCCU